GUGCUCACGCUGGCAGCACACACACUAGAACUGGAAGGGUACAGAGAAGAUUAGCCUCUGCACAAGGAUGACAUGCAAAACAAAUUCGUGAAACCUUCCAUAUUUCU
rnacentral:snRNA from 1 species